AUUUUUUUAAAUUGUAUUAUUCAUAACAGUAACACAAUUGUAUUGGUUUUGUGUUGUACAUAUUUGAUAUCUGAUACGCAAACAUAUUCUUGAAGUGAAAUAUUUUGCCAACAAUAGUUCUUCCCCAUAGUAAAUACUGGAAACCAUACAUUAUCCUACCGCACCCCAAAUUCGACGAUGUUCUAUUUAUAUUGAUUAAAUGGAUGAUUAUUGUCUUUGAAUCAUUUCAAAGUAAUACAGCCGAGUUUAAAAUUAUUAUUUUCUGCUAUUAAACAUUUCAUUAUUUCUUUCAUUAUUUGCUAAAUAUUGCUUCAUGUAACCGUUACAUCGUCGAAUUUCGGUCCAUUACAUUCGAUUCUUUACACCCUUCGAAUUUGGGUCACACUGGGAUAUUGCAUACAUGCAUCUAGUCCAAAUUUUUGACGCUCUUAAAUAUUAAGCUACUUUUUAUAUGGGUAAAGUAUCUCGCGCGUCUUAUAAAUAAGACUAACAUGCAUCAUGCAGAGAUCUCCCUCUGGUUUAGUUCAAACCUGUAUAUUUUAGUUUGAUUGCAUAGGACUUAUUUGAAAAAGCUGUAAAUUUUGUUUCCGGUGCCUAGAACCAGUACUUAGUGUCUAUAGGGAAGAUCUAAAGAACGCUUUCACAGUGGGGAUCGAACCCGUGACCUCCUGGUUGCUAGGCGGACACCAUAUCCUUUACGCCACAGCUACCUCAGGGUUUGGGGUAACGACACCAAACGCAAAGCCUAUCCCAAGGCAAUGCCCCAUUUGCGUGGUAAAAGGCAACACGACUGUGUACCUCCGGGUAACAGACCACGUUCGCUGGGUGCAAGCGCUGACGGCAGACCCCAUGAAGCCGUUGAUGUCAGAGGCACGUGCUAAGACCGGUCGGAAAGUGAAGAAGACAAAGCCGAGGAAUUACUACUCUUGCUGGCUGUGCGACCGGUCGGUGAUUGACCGGCUGCGUCAUCUAGAACAGGAGCACAAAAUGGAGGCUGGGACAUUCAAUUUUGUUUCCACAAGAGGGCCGUUUCCGGAAAGACGCGAAAACUUCAGGAAAGGUGACCAGCAGACUCGCCACUCAUGAUGACUCGGCAUAGGAGGAUGAGAAGGUGGAGGAUGAGGAGGAGGAGGAAGAGGACUUUUCAUUCCUAAUGCCGAAAUACUGCCUGAGCCUGGAACCCAAUGCAAGGGUGAUGCAUGGUCGGAGAAGCUGCAAUUUCAAUCGUUGACUCAUAUGUAGACUACAUGUUCCUGCGGAGCAGGCCAGGUGGGUUGGCAAACGAGUCGAAAACACAAGAGGUCAACAUGAAGAUCAACCGGUUCCUGGCCCUGUCUGGCUACUUGGAAGGAGUGGUGUUGAGUGACAUGCUGUUGUGGAUGGGCCAUAUGGAGGUCCACGACAGUUCCUCAACACCACUCACCAGCUGAAGACGGUGCGGAAUGCACUAACGGCAAUCAAGAACUUCCUGAAGUGGUGCGAGGGAAUGGUCUAGCGGACGCCCGCACAUUGAACAAUGCUUCCUGACCUCAACCUGCCUGGAUAAGAGCCGUCGCGAGGUUGUUCGGAGGGUAGAGGAGAGUGCGGCCAUCCUGACGGACGCAAACCUGGAGCGCCACUUCACUGAGAGUGAGCAUGUAGUGAAAACGAUCAAGGUGAUCCAGGAGCCCCCAGCUGGCACACCUGAAAGAUAUUCGGGGAAUAAUCAUUUAACUGAUAGCGCUCUAUAACGCCUCCUGAACUGGCAAGUGUACCUAGAGAUUGAGCUGGAGACAGUGAAGGUGCUGACCUCUGUGUGGAACACUUAGAAGCUGGCAAGUUUUCAUAUUGAAGGGUAUGGUUCCCAACCGCCCAUCACACACAGAAUGAAGCUUGUCGUCUUCCGCAGUAAAAACUGGGUGCUGGAAGAUGCUUACUGCUAUAUUGACUGCUUCCGAGCGCUUCCUGGACCUAAAAAUUAUCUCCCAGCAGCAACCUCCCCAAGGUGUGACGAGAGUCUUCAAGGUAAUUGAAAGAGGG